rnacentral:rRNA from 1 species
GACGAACGCUGGCGGCGUGCUUAACACAUGCAAGUCGAACGGAAAGGCCCUGCUUUUGUGGGGUGCUCGAGUGGCGAACGGGUGAGUAACACGUGAGUAACCUGCCCUUGACUUUGGGAGAACAUCAGGAAACUGGGGCUAAUACCGGAUAGGAGCUCCUGCUGCAUGGGGGGGGUUGGAAAGAGUCGGCGGUGGGGGAUGGACUAGCGGCUUAUCAGCUUGUUGGUGGGGUAGUGGCUGCCGACGGCUUUGACGGGUAGCCGGCCUGAGAGGGUGACCGGCGACCUGGGGCCUGAGAGACGGCGCAGACGCCAACGUGCGGCAGUGGGGGGGAGCAUGGCAGAGUGGGCGGGAGCCAGUGGUGAAAGCCCCCGGAGCGGAAUGCUGGCUUUCUGGUGAAAAACAGAUUUGGCCGUAGACAAGCCCUGAUUGACGGUAACUAAUAAAAAAGCACCGGCUAACUACGUG